rnacentral:rRNA from 1 species
CAGCAGCCGCGGUAAUACGUAGGGUGCAAGCGUUAAUCGGAAUUACUGGGCGUAAAGCGUGCGUAGGCGGCUUUUUAAGUCGGAUGUGAAAUCCCUGAGCUUAACUUAGGAAUUGCAUUCGAUACUGGGAAGCUAGAGUAUGGGAGAGGAUGGUAGAAUUCCAGGUGUAGCGGUGAAAUGCGUAGAGAUCUGGAGGAAUACCGAUGGCGAAGGCAGCCAUCUGGCCUAAUACUGACGCUGAGGUACGAAAGCAUGGGGAGCAAACAGGAUUAGAUACCCCAGUAGUCCCUGUCUCUUAUAC